AAUUAAUGGAGUUUGAUAUGCAUGUUUACAUUUUUUUUUUUUCUUGCGGCUGGAUUUUUCCCAGGAGGUAUUGCUGUUGCUUUAGCUGGGAAGGCUUCUGAUAGAGCUGGAAUGAGCAGGUUACCCUUGCUAAUCUUCGUCGUGAUGUCCAUGGAGGAGCGGAAACCAGAGGGCUGCCAAGGGAUAUUCUGAAGAAACUACCAUCUCGUGUGAUCUUGAAGGAUACCAAGGCAGCUCGGGGUUGCUGUUGUACGACAUGUUUGCAGGAUGUUGAAUAAGGAGAAAUUGCGAGGACGCUGCCCGUGUCAGCAUACGUUUCACUUGGCGUGCGUGGAAAAGUGGCUCAGCAGACAUGGUUCGUGCCCUUUAUGCCGGCGAGAUUUGUGAACGAAACACAGGU